CACGCUGUAAACGAUGGGUACUAGGCUUUGUGGGAAUAGACCCCUGCAGAGCCGGAGCUAACGCAAUAAGUACCCCGCCUGGGAAGUACGGUCGCAAGACUAAAACUCAAAGGAAUUGACGGGGGCCCGCACAAGCGGUGGAUCAUGUGGUUUAAUUCGAAGCAACGCGCAAAACCUUACCUGGGUUUGACAUCCUCGGACCGCUGUAGAAAUACAGUUUUUGUAGCAAUACAACCGAGAGACAGGUGC
rnacentral:rRNA from 1 species